rnacentral:misc_RNA from 1 species
CCGAGUUUACAACUCCCAAACCCCUGUGACAUACCACUUGUUGCCUCGGCGGAUCAGCCCGCUCCCGGUAAAACGGGACGGCCCGCCAGAGGACCCCUAAACUCUGUUUCUAUAUGUAACUUCUGAGUAAAACCACAAAUAAAUCA